GGAGGAUCAACAUGGUGUCACAAACGCAGGUUCUCCUAUCCCUGCUGCUCUGGGUGUCUGGUGCCUGUGCAGAUAUCGUGAUGACCCAGUCUCCAUCCUCCCUGGCUGUGUCAGCAGGAGAGAAGGUCAUCAUAAGCUGCAAGUCCAGUCAGAGUCUUUUAUACAGUGGCAAUAACUACUUGGCUUGGUACCAGCAGAAACCAGGGCAGGCUCCUAAACUACUGAUCUACUGGGCAUCCACUCGGCCCACUGGGGUCACUGAUCGCUUCACAGGCAGUGGAUCUGGGACAGAUUUCACUCUCACCAUCAGCAGUGUUCAGGCUGAAGAUCUGGCAGAUUACUACUGUCAGCAGUACCACAGCUUUCCUCCCACAGCGCUUCAGCCUCCAACAAAAACCUCUCUCACAUUCUCACCAGCUGGCUGUACCACACAGCCCUGGACCUGCACACUUCCCCCUGCUGCCUGA